GGGAUAACUAUUGGAAACGAUAGCUAAUACCGCAUAAGAGAGACUAACGCAUGUUAGUAAUUUAAAAGGGGCAAUUGCUCCACUAUGAGAUGGACCUGCGUUGUAUUAGCUAGUUGGUGAGGUAAAGGCUCACCAAGGCGACGAUACAUAGCCGACCUGAGAGGGUGAUCGGCCACACUGGGACUGAGACACGGCCAG
rnacentral:rRNA from 1 species